rnacentral:lncRNA from 1 species
AACAGCCUUCUGUCUGCCUUUGGAACAAGAUGUAGAGCUUUCGGCUCCUCUAGUACAGUGUCUGUGAGGACGCUGCCAUGCUUCCCUCCAUGAUGAUGAACCUCAAAACCAGUAAGCCAGCCCCAAUGAAAUGUUGUCCUUUAUAAGAGUUGCUUUGGUCAUGGUGUUUUUUCACAGCAAUGUAAACCCUAACCAAGACACCCAGGGACACAGGAGCAUACAGGUAAGUAUUUAACAGUAUUCAGCCAUCCAAGUACUUAGAGGCCACUCCUGUGUUGGUUUCAGGAGGCCUGGCUACUGCUCAAGAUGGCUGCAAUCUGGUCACCAUCCAGGUGGUGCUAGUUUGUCAAGCAUAUAGAAUGCAAGAGCCACAGGGUCAUGGAAGCUGCUAUCUGCCUUUCAAUGGAAGGCGUGCCAAAUCAAGCAACUUAUUGCAAACCAACAUCUCUGAAGGAAGUCCUGACAGUCUGGCAUACAGAUCUGUGAAGAUGAAGCCUAUGCCACAGUGAAGCCCCCCCUAGAACAUGGUGUGUCUGUCAUGAAGGCUAUAGUCAAUGAAUAGAGUCAACUGUGGUGGUUACCAGACUCUCAAAUGUUUGAUUUUACCAAAAAAGACUUGGAAGCCAGAUACUGUGGUAAAAGCCUGCUAGCUCAGAGAAGCAGAGAAAGCAAGCUGAUCUUCCUCCUCAUCCAGUGUCCCAAAUGGAGAAGCAAGAUCUCCUUUCCACUCCACCUCAGAAACUGCUCAAACUAAGUGUUCCUCCCUUCUACUUCCUGUUCAUCGCUCUGUCCUCCUGACUCCUAACUCUCUGUGCUUUUUUUCUAUGUUCACUCCCCUUCAACUGGUUGCAUGCUCCACCUCUAGACCUAAGGUUGACUUUAUUUAGUCCUGUUUACAAUAAACAGAAAGAGCUUGUUUUAAAGAUGUGUGCUAGGGCUGAGCCAUACCACAACUAAGAAUCAGGUUUUUUAAUACAUCCUAGGAGUUCACAGUGUGGUCAUAUAUUCUGUAACAGUCAGUCUAUGACAACGUCUAUGUGGGCUGUAAAUGGCAAGACCAUAAGAAUAAGGCUGCCCCAGCCUGUUAGAGCUUACACCAUUCUUUCAUAUGUCAUAGAUGUUGACUAUAGAGCUACAAAAUUGGAUGAUUGCCUUGCUAGAUUGGCAUCUUGUUUUGUACCAUUUCUUCUAUGUCAUCAUUGUUUCCUUUUUUAAAAGUUAUUAUUUACUUUGUAUGGUUGUGUCUUGUUUUAUAUAUAUUGAGACAGAGUUGCAUAUAGUCUAGGUUAGCACUGAACUUGCUAUGUUGUAGAAGAGGACCCUAAACUCCAGGUGUUCACAGACACACACCACCAUACCCAGUUUAUGUGGUGGACCCCAGGGAUUCAUGCAUGCUAGGCAAAUGUCUGCCAGUUGAGCUACUUCUCUAGCCCAUGAGCCUUGGUACAAAUGUAAUUUUUUUCUUUUUCUUUCUCUUUCUUUUUGAGUAUUGAGACAUAAACUCUUCAACAAUUGACUUCUUAUGACUUUGGAGACUUGCCGGGCGGUGAUGGCACAUGGUUUAGUCCUAGCACAUUAGAGGCAGAGGCAGGUGGAUGUUUGUGAGUUUAAGGCCAUCUUGGUCUACAGAGCGAGUUCUAGGACAGGCAGGAAUUCACAAACCCUGUCUUUAAAAACCAAACCAACCAACCAACUAAGAAAAGAAUUUGGAGACUCCUGGAGAUGACUAAAUAGAUUUUAUUAUGUAUGUAUAAAUCCAUGAGCCUUUGGAGGUUCAUAACAGAAUGUUACAGCUUAAAAUUGAAAUGUCCUCCAAGGACUUACAUGUUGAAUGAUGGACCUGGGCUGGUGGUUCUGUUUUGAAGUGGUGUACACUCUAGGAGCUAGGAUCUGGAUAGAAGAAAAGUAUCAUUAGGGAUGAAUCGUGCAGGGUCAUUCCCGCCAUGGCUCCUUCCUGCACCCCUGCUUCUUGUCCGUCAUGAUUUGAGCAGCCCCUGUCCAUCUAUUUGUGCAAACAUGCUAUUCUGAUUCUAUCUAGGCCUAGAACACAGAGCCACACGACCACAAGCUGAGUCCUCUGAAACCAAAUUAAUGAGCUAAAAUUAAUGUCUCCUCUUAAUGUAUUGUUCUCGGAUGGUACAGCGAUGGCAAAACUGAUUCAGUUGAAAAUGCAAUGAUAUACCCAAUGUGAUUUGAUCGUUUUCUGAAAAGAAGCAAUUGUUUACUUAUGCUCUUUCAUAGGAAAUGUAACCGAGAUAAGUUUAAAACAGUCACUCUUUUAUCAUGGUUUCAGACCUGAUGUAAGUUAUUUUAAACAUAGUUAUAUAUCAUCGCCUUUGUUCAACUUAAAACUUCCCCUGCCCAUUUGAAAUAGAGUUCCCUAUAUUUCCUCAUCCCAGUGAAUCCAAUGCCUACUCCCUAUAGCCACUGGGCACAAUGAAACCUUAAGGAUGAACAUAAGAGUCCUAUAAACAAGCUAGCCCUUGCCGGGUGUGGUAGCAUGUGGAGAGCCGUGAGCAAUCGCCAUUACAAGAUGGCACCGGCUUCCUCUGUGCCUAACUGGUAAACAAGUAAUGUGCGCAGGUGCAAGAGUGAAUUCGUGCCAAGUCACUGCCCAUCCCGGGGCGUAGCAAUGAGGCGAUGGGCGAGCAACAAAUCAGGUGCUGACAUGCCAUGCUGAGGUGUAUAUAAGCAGCACCAUUUUCCGGGGUUCUGGGUCUUCCUCCUGAUGAAGCAAUAAAGCUUUGCUG